rnacentral:rRNA from 1 species
UACGAAGGGGGCUAGCGUUGUUCGGAAUUACUGGGCGUAAAGGGCGCGUAGGCGGCGUGUCAAGUCAGGCGUGAAAGCCCCGGGCUCAACCUGGGAACCGCGCUUGAGACUGGCAUGCUCGAGUUCGGGAGAGGAUGGUGGAAUUCCCAGUGUAGUGGUGAAAUACGUAGAGAUUGGGAAGAACACCAGUGGCGAAGGCGGCUAUCUGGCCCGGUACUGACGCUGAGGUGCGAAAGCGUGGGGAGCAAACAGG